AGAAUCAACGCUGGCGGCGUGCCUAACACAUGCAAGUCGAACGAGAAAGUGGGAGCAAUCCCAUUAGUAAAGUGGCGCACGGGUGAGUAACACGUGACUAACCUACCCUUGAGUGGGGGGAUAACCUAGGGAAACCUGGGCUAAUACCGCAUAAUACCUACGGGUCAAAGGAGCAAUUCGCUUUAGGAGGGGGUCGCGGCAGAUUAGUUAGUUGGCGGGGUAAUGGCCCACCAAGACAGUGAUCUGUAUCCGGCCUGAGAGGGCGCACGGACACACUGGAACUGAAACACGGUCCAGACUCCUACGGGAGGCAGCAGUGGGGAAUUUGCGCAAUGGGGGAAACCCUGACGCAGCAACGCCGCGUGGAGGAUGAAGCCCCUUGGGGCGUAAACUCCUUUCGAUCGGGAAGAUAAUGACGGUACCGGAAGAAGAAGCCCCGGCUAACUUCGCGCCAGCAGCCGC
rnacentral:rRNA from 1 species